GGAAGGUACCAUAUGAUGAGUACAGAUGUAGAGGAAAUUUGGUUCCUUUGACUACUCCUGCAUAAACCUAUAACUUCCUUUUACUUAUAAGUUAAGUAGUAGCUAGGUGUCCUAGAUCUAUACAUAGAGUUUGCGAGUAUCCUCAAAAUAUGUUUUAUGACAUAAAUAACCACAAGAAACUAAAGUAUAUGAGAAUGGCAUGUCAAGAGAUGUUCUACAUGUUUAUAUCUUAUUUACGUCAUGUUCUUACCUUUAGAAAUUAAAACAAAGUAAAAGAAAACAAGAAAAGUAGAAGAAAAGUGUUAAGCAUGUGGCUUGAGUGUGGCUUGCAAGAGUGGCGUGUGAGGCUCUUGUUGUGGCCUUUAGGUUUUUCUUUUGGUUGGUGAAAGUCGAGAGGAUCAGAAUGUCUAGUGAAAAGAUGCCUCCUUAAAUGUUUAGAGGUGUAUUUAUAAGCACUUUGCUAAUUAGGAAAACUACAUCUCACCUAAUUAGGAAAAGAUUCAUAUUUAGGUGAUUUAAUUUCCCAAAGAGCAAGAUAUUCUCUUUCAUACAGACUCUAAUUUUUGGCCAAGCUUGCCUAAAAGGGAUUU
rnacentral:misc_RNA from 1 species